GGGAUAACCCGCCGAAAGGCGGGCUAAUACCGCAUGACACUCCCACGAUUUCGAUCGUGGGAAUCAAAGCCCCGCAAGGGCGUCGGAGGAGGGGCCCGCGCCCGAUUAGCUUGUUGGCGAGGUAACGGCUCACCAAGGCUAUGAUCGGUAGCCGGUCUGAGGGGAUAGCCGGCCACACUGGAACUGAGACACGGUCCAGACUCCUACGGGAGGCAGCAGUGGGGAAUCUUGCGCAAUGGGCGAAAGCCUGACGCAGCGACGCCGCGUGGGGGAUGAAGCUUCUCGGAGUGUAAACCCCUUUCGACCCGGACGAAUGGCCCGCAAGGGACGUGACGGUACGGGUAGAAGAAGCCCCGGCUAACUACGUGCCAGCAGCCGCGGUAAAACGUAGGGGGCCAGCGUUGCUCGGAAUUACUGGGCGUAAAGGGUUCGUAGGCGGUGCGGCAAGUCGGAAGUGAAAUCUCUGGGCUUAACCCAGAGGCUGCUCCCGAAACUGCCGUGCUCGAGUGCGGGAGAGGCGAGUGGAAUUGCAGGUGUAGCGGUGAAAUGCGUAGAUAUCUGCAGGAACACCCGUGGCGAAGGCGGCUCGCUGGACCGCAACUGACGCUGAGGAACGAAAGCUAGGGGAGCAAACAGGAUUAGAUACCCUGGUAGUCCUAGCCCUAAACCAUCAGGACUUGGGGUGCAUCCCGUUUGGGGUGCGUCCCGUAGCUAACGCGUUAAGUCCUGCGCCUGGGGAGUACGGUCGCAAGG
rnacentral:rRNA from 1 species